AAGUCGUAACAAGGUUUCCGUAGGUGAACCUGCGGAAGGAUCAUUAAAAAGUGAUGUAUCACAUUUCAUGGUUAAUUCAAACCUAGUUUCCAAUUUAAGUCCCAAUUUCCCAAGCAUGGUCAAUUAACCCCCAUUUUCCGGCCAUGGUUUAGCCCUUUUGCCCCUGAUUUGGGGGCCCUUUCCAGUAGGGGCCCCUUGAACCUGGAUGGUCCAACCUUCCUUUUGGUUGGAUGUGAAAACCCCAAAGAGAGUUCCCCCAUGGGGAGGUAAUCAUUAAAUUUCAUGUAUCCAAUGUCUUCUGUCUGAACUGUUUAUAACAAAUGUUAAAA
rnacentral:misc_RNA from 1 species